rnacentral:rRNA from 1 species
UACGUAGGGUCCAAGCGUUGUCCGGAUUUAUUGGGCGUAAAGAGCUCGUAGGCGGCUCGGUAAGUCGGAUGUGAAAACUCCAGGCUCAACCUGGAGACGCCAUUCGAUACUGCUGUGGCUUGAGUCUGGUAGGGGAGCACGGAAUUCCUGGUGUAGCGGUGAAAUGCGCAGAUAUCAGGAGGAACACCGGUGGCGAAGGCGGGUCUCUGGGCCGAUACUGACGCUGAGGAGCGAAAGCGUGGGGAGCGAACAGG